rnacentral:lncRNA from 1 species
GGAAAACUGGGUACACUGAUACAUUGUUGGUGAAACUGUAAAUGCAUUUGGCCAUUCUGGAGAGGAAUUUGGAAUUAUACUCAAAAAGUUGUCAAACUGUGCAUACCCUUUGAUUCAGCACUGUUACUCCUGGGCUUAUAUGCAAAAGAGAUAUUAAGGAAGGAAAAGGGAUAUGUAUGUACAAAAAUGUUUGUGGCAGCCCUUUUUGUAGUGUUUAGAAACUGGAAAUUGAAUGGAUGCCUAUCACUUGGAGAAUGGCUGGGUAAAUUGUGGUAUCUGAAUGUUUUGGAAUAUUAUUGGAAUUAUAUGGGGCUAAGCUAAUCUAUAGAAAUUGGCUAAAACCAGCCAUUGUCAAGAACCUGGAGAAAGUUUUUCUUCAAAGACUAUUAUCUGACAGAACCCAAGAGCAGAGAUACUGGAAGAUGGGAUGCCCGACCAAGUGGGGGAAUAUUGUCUAGGAACAACACGUCAGAAUUGCAUGAGGAAGACUUUAAAGAUGAAAAGUUUCAUCCAAAUAGAAUGGAGGCAUAGGACUUACCUUAAGAGUAUAAAAUCUUAUUCUACUUACUUAUCAGUAUGUGAACUCAUCUAGUGUUUUUUUCACCCAAUUCUGGCAGAGUGUAUAGAAUGUUUAAACGGCUUCACUCAUCCUGAGAUCAUUCAUUUACUGCACCCUUUUGGGGAUUCAGAAUUUUAUAAAACUAGGAAGAACCUUCAUUUUAAAUUAAAUCAAUUUAAAGGCAAUGCAGCUUCCAAAGAUAGGUGUCUUACAAAGGUUACAAUUACAGUACUUUGAAAACUUAUAGCUGUUAUGGGCCAGAACUCACCUUGAAACAAAGUGCUAAUUCAGUGGAACUGAUGAGACAAUGGUUAUCUAGUUCAAGGUUCAGUAUGGUUGAUUUGAUCUUACAACAAAUAAUGGUUUCCUAGUGCUAUAAUGCUUCGUUUCUACUCAGGGUGGAGCAUAUAAGCAGGGACUGAGAGCCAUAGAGGAGAAGCUUUCAGAAGGCAGAGAACACAAGCGCACUAGGAGAUCUCAGAACCAUGGAGACAGACCUUCAUUUGAUUUCAGUCAAGCCACUAGUGGCAGGCUCUCUUCCUUAUUUUCUCCACUGACACCAAGACUCCGGAAAGCCUCCAAGAAAACUAGCCGAGCCCCGAGUGAAGGAGACAAGACUUGGAAGGAGACAAUAAAGACUUUUAUUUAUUUAUAUUUAUAAAAUACUUUUAUUUAUAUUAAAGAACCUGACUGUUCCUGUGAUGAUUACUGAACUGAAAAAGGAUGACUGCUUCCAGAGACCCCAAGAAAACCGAACCAGAGAACAAUACAUAUAACAAUCAAAACAAUAUCAUAUUCUUCAAUUUCAUGAAUAGACCAGAGAAAAGAUAUUUCUGAGAUUAAAAAUAGUAUGAUAUAGUAUACUUGAAAUAUAUGUGAUUGUACAUCAGAGUAUCACAUUGAUAAUACGAUUAGUUGAAUAUUUUACUGGAAUAGCAGAACAAUUCCAGAGUUAAAUAAAUUAAUAGCUAGAUCUAAACCUAAUACCCUUUUCUAAUAGUUUCUGAAAAAUUAAGAGGUAGAUAAUUCAGGUUUUGGCACAGUGGAUAAAGUGUAGUCUGCAGUCAAGAAUCUUAAUAUAAUAAUAAAUACCUUAAAAAGUACAUGAAAAGGGUGGAAACAGGAAGUUGAAAAAUCAAAAAAUCUUGAAAAUCAAAAGACAAUAUUCAGAUGAUCAAAGGUUGAGAUAAAGGUGAUCUUGUAGCUAUGGUCCAAAGGAUAAAAACAUCAGAUGUGUCUAUUAAGCAUAAUUGGGUUCAGAG